UACGUAGGGCGCGAGCGUUGUCCGGAUUUAUUGGGCGUAAAGAGCUUGUAGGUGGUUUGUCGCGUCUGCUGUGAAAAUCCGAGGCUCAACCUCGGACUUGCAGUGGGUACGGGGCAGACUAGAGUGUGGUAGGGGAGACUGGAAUUCCUGGUGUAGCGGUGGAAUGCGCAGAUAUCAGGAGGAACACCGAUGGCGAAGGCAGGUCUCUGGGCCAUUACUGACAC
rnacentral:rRNA from 1 species